ensembl:lncRNA
AUGUCAGUUUUCUACAAGCAGAAUCACCUGACACUUUUUGUUUGUUUUCCCUUUAGGGUUUUUGUCCCUCUCUUAAAGCAAGUGUUCAGAGUCAUGAGCAGAUGGAAGAUACAGGCGGAGGCGUCUUACCUGUCACCGUUGGUAUGUCUGGUUGAAACCUGCGACAAGAUCAUGACCUUCCCAAAGCCAUCUAGGAGUACAGAGAAAAAAUGCACAGUGCAUGAAAACUGUGAAAUGGAGUCCCACCACCAGCUAUGGUGGGGAAAAGCCUUUGAACGCCACCUGGCUCUGACAUUCUUCCUUUAGGUGAUGAAAAUGAGCCCUGGAAGUCUUUGCAGGGGCCUCUGGGCAGGUACGCCAGGGUGUGCAGGUGCACACCACUGACCCAGCCGUCCCUCUUCUAGGAAUCAGUCCUGAUGCAACUCUCAGCAACCUGUGCCGAGAUCUCUGUGGAAGCAUUGUUUGCAAGCGCAGAUAAUCAGAAACCACCCAAAAAAAUUAUAAAGAAGACAUUGGGCAAAUCAACAAUGGUAUGCUGAGAUUUGGAUUGCCAAAUUGACCUUGAAGUGAAGGAGGCAGAUUUGCUUGUAAUAACACUGAAAGUGAUACAAGAUCUACUUGAAGUGCAGAAUAUCAUGUUCACCAUGAGACACUGGUAAAUAAUGUUUUCAUGUAAGUAUAUAUAUGUCAUCAUUAGGCUGAAGGCAGCAAAGAGCGUGGUUGAGUCCAAGUGUUAUGGAAUAAGACUGCUUGGGUGCAAACCUUGGCUCCUACACUAGCCAGGUGAGGAUGGGGGUUACUGGACUAAUUUUUUUUUUUUUUUUUUUGAGACAGGGUCUUGCUCUGUCAUCCAGGCUGGAGUGAAGUGGCACAAUCACGGGUCACAACAGCCUCAAACUGCUGGGGUCAAGCAGUCCUCCCACUUCAACCUCCUGAGCAGCUGGGACUACAGUCAUGCCACCACCAUGCCCAGUUAAUUUUUAAAUUUUUCGGUAGAGAUGGUAUCUCUCACUAUGUCACCCAGGAUGGUCUUGAACUCCUGGUCUCAAGUCAUCCUCCCGCCUCAGCCUCCCAAAAUGCCGGGAUUACGAGCCUGAGCCACCAUGCCUAGCCACGUUUGACUUCUUGCCUCUCAGGAGUAAGGGCUCGGAGGGAGCCUGAUAUCCUGGGUUUGAGUCCUGGUUUGCUAUUUCCUUCCUACGUGAUCUGGACCAAGUGACUCAUUCCGAGUGUGUCUCAAUUUCUCCACAUGUAAGCUGGACGUGCAGAUGGUACUUACCUUAGUGAGCGGUUGCAUGCUGCCUUCUCAGGAGGUCUGGGGCACAUGAGGCCCCAGGAGUGUUAGUUAUGCUGAAGCCUGCAAGAAAAUGCUGAAGAAAUGCACACAGCCAACAUUGGUUAUCUCUGAGGAAUGUUUACUGUUGGACUCACAUAUUUCAUAGCAUUUUUGAAAGUAGGAAUAAGUGAGUCUUGCAAUUAGGAAAAAAAAAAAUCAUGCACUGCAAAAGAAUACCUUUGCAAAAGGCCCUCUUGGAGAGGUAACUAUGUCCUUCUAGUACAUUCCCUAGAAUAAAGGGCCGGUGCACUCAAGCAGCCUGGAGGCCACCUCUCUGCGUCACCAUCUCUACCCUACGGUGCACUGGGCUUUCCAUUGUCACUGUUCUUACCCCUGGGGGCUGUCCCUUGAUAGGUCAGCCUCUCCCACAGUCCUGGGAGCUGUCCAAGGACAGGGAUUAGAGCUAAUUGAUCCUCUCUGCAUCUCUGGGUCCAGGUGUAGUGGUUGGUACACAGUAGUAGGUGCCUAAUGAAGGUCUGCUGAGUACUUGAGGGAUUACUGAAGGAAGUUACUUCUGUAGCCUGACAAUAAACACGCUCCCUUCUGACCCCUCAGGAAUGCUCUUGGCACCCGUUCCCAAGUCAGGCCCUAAAAAUGAACACUGUGUUAAUGACACAACAAAACAAGACAUUCCAGACUCAGCCUCGGGCGGCUGACUCUUGGGGCUGCCGUGCCUUUGGCCAGCAGCUGCAGAGGCUGUCCUCAGGGAGGGGACCUCCAGCCCUUCCAGUCCAGAGCCACAGCCUCCUGGGACAGGCAGCAGACCAUGAAAAUGAGGGGUGCAGCCGUGGCCACAGAUUCACUUUGUAUAUUAACAGGAAGAGUUUUCCUUUCCAUACAUGCAUCAGUGUGCCCUCCCCCGAAACAAACAAAUAAACAAACAAGCAAAGAUAAAAGAAAGAAAAGAGGAGGGACAGAGGGUGGGACAUGAGAGGGAGGGAGGAAUGGAGGCAGAGAAAGGAAGAGAAAGAAAGCAAUAAAGAGAGAGAAAAAAAAGAAAGGAGAAGAAAAGAACAAGGGAGGGAGAGAGGGAGCAAGGAAGGAAGGAAGAAAGAAAGGGAGGAAGGGAGGGAGAUGUACCUUUUGUAGACAGACCCUCUAUCUGACUCCCCCUGACAUUACUUUAGAGAGAUUAAAUAUUGAGCAUUAUUCAUCUUUCAUUAAAAACACCAAGACAAGCUUGUGGGCCAUAUGAUGUCUGCAACUUCAAAAUUCCUGAAGCUCUUUUCCAUUUUACAGAUGAGUAAAUGGAGAGGCUACAGUUUGCCUAAGGUCACUGGGAGUGAGUGAGUGUCCACCAGAGAGAUUUCUGACUUCCCAGUCCAGACCCUUCCCUCUGCUCUGGCCUUUCGAGGCCAAGGGUGUGAAUACCCCGGAGGCAGGAUCUGUCAUGGGAGAAGCUGGACCUACCUGCCUCCUUCAGAUCCCCAGUCCCACCUCUUCCCAGGAACCCACUGUCAUAGUGGGAGUCCACGUGGCCUUUUUAACAGAUGCUGCCAAAAGCAGUGCUUCCAGCCCCAGGAGGGAGAUCAGGGAUGAGAGACUCAGGUUACUGCAGAGAUAGUGGGGUCAGGGAAGACUGGGGCUUCUCUGAAAUUAUAGGUCAAGGGAAGGGAUACUGAUGCUGAUGUCAGCAUUGGAGCUAGACCAAUGCGACUGGGAAUUUCAGUUCUUUUUCUUCUCAGCGGGGUGAAUUUUGACAAGUUAUAGAACCAGUCUGGGCCUCAGUAUACUAAGCUCUAAAAUGGGCUAACACAGAAGGCUGUAUGCAAAGUCAGUUUAAUAUAAAUGAGGCCCUAGCCCCAAGUAGGUACUCCUUGGCACAAGAAUUCUGGCUGGGCUGAACUUGGCUUUUGUAGGAGAAAAUUGAGUUCUGUGGGUUUAGGAGGUGAGUCAGCAUUUGGCUGUGGGUCAGUACAAGGAGAAGUUCUGCCCUUCAUGUCAAGAUAAAGGCCAGCUCAGGCCUUAUAUACUCAGCUCCCCAGAUGUACAGGGCAGGGAGAGGGGUUUUUUGGGGAAGGCUUUAGGCUAGGGUUCUUUCUAAGAACAUAGGCCCAGGAAACACGGCCUCUGGUCCUGCCUCUGCCUCAAUUAGCUGUGUGACUUUGGAAAAGUCACCCAACCUCUCUGAAACCCAGUUUUCAGAACUGGGUUCUGCAGGGAAAAUAGCAACUCGCAGGCUGCUUGUAUAGAGCAACUGGGUGUGGACAAUGCUAGUGCAUAGGGAGCCCAUAACAAAUGUGACUCCCUCCAUCGGCCCAGCUCCACCAAAUAUUAGCUGAGGGGAAGCCCCUUCCAGGGCCUCACUUUCUCCCUGCCUGGAUUCCUGUUUGUGUCCAAGUAAUGUUUCCAAAUGGUAGUUUUUCAUGUACCACAGUUAUGAUUUUUGCCAUAAUCCAAGUACACUUUUUAAAACUCAUUCUUCUAUAUUUUUGAAAAUUUAAUGGAUCCCUUUGUAUAAAUUGAAAUAUAAAAAUUAAAGGAAAACCAGUGUAUAGCUGUUCUAAGUGGAGAAGCAGUUUGGCUGGCCUGGGUAAAAAUAAACACAAUCAAAAGCAAGCAAGAUAUUAACUUCCAGCUAGAUCCAGCUGCCUGGGGAGGUGCCCAGCCCAGAGGCUAUUCUUUCCAGAUUAAAAGGAGAGUAGAGGAAGUGUUAGCAUCUGCCCUGGUGGGAAACUGAGGCCUGCUCCUCGAUGUAACCAGAAGGAUCAAAGGAACUGGGAAGAAAUUUUGUCUGCUGUGGUUUGAUUUUAUUUAACACCUUAUGCAUGUGCCUCAAAAAUGAUGUUGGUGAACCCCAUCUGCAUCCCUCUAAGGCUGCUCUCUGGGAUAGGCAGGCCUUGGUGGUCUUGUUGGUCAUUUCCUCUGUAAAAGGUGAGUGGGUCUGGAAGGUACUCCUAUGGGGUGGGGGAAAGGGGAAGGCAGAGUGAAAUGGACGACAUAACGGAUGUGUGGUUGGUAAGGUGGGGUACGGACCACCUAGAAUUCAGCCCGUUCUUUAGUACGUCCCAGCUGACAAAGAGUUUCCUCUCAGCAGAAGCCCGUGGGCCAAGCACAGCCUGAUCCCCAUCACGUCUGUUCUGGGCGGCCAUGAUGCUUGGCUGAGGGCAGCAGGAAGUGAGUGGGCGUCAGGCGGAAGUCUUUCUGAAGGGCUGUAGGGUGGUGUAAAUGACAGCCAUAACUCACAGUAACAAGAUCGGGACAGAAAUACUGAGAUGCUAGUCACAUGAAGCGUGUGCUCAGGGAGGAGAAGACGACUGGGACCCUAACAGAGAAAAUAACCACAACUAAUGAUCCAGACAAUGGCUUCACUGGUGGCAUAGGCAUGGUCUAGGAAAUAAAACUGGGAGAUCCACCAAAUCUGUUUUUUCCCAUCCUAAAGCUUGCAAGAAGCCUCCCACACAAAGUUUAAGUAACUUUUAUUUUGUCACAGAUGUAUUUUGAUGUUAAAAUUGCUGCCCUUUAUUGGGUCCUGACCGUUGUAUGAGC